rnacentral:rRNA from 1 species
GGAUUAGAUACCCUGGUAGUCCUAGCCGUAAACGAUGGGCACUAGGUAGGGGGGAUACCUAUGGUCUUCCCUGCCGCAGCAAAUGUGUUAAGUGCCCCGCCUGGGGAGUACGCUCGCAAGGGUAAAACUCAAAGGAAUUGACGGGGGCUCACACAAGCGGUGGAGCAUGUGGUUUAAUUCGAAGCAACGCGAAGAACCUUACCUAGCCUUGACAUCCAUGGAUUAGCUCGGUGAAAGUCGAGUGACAGCUCUUCGGAGUCGGAACAUGGACAGGUGUUGCAUGGCUGUCGUCAGCUCGUGCUG